rnacentral:rRNA from 1 species
AUUGAACGCUGGCGGCAUGCCUUACACAUGCAAGUCGAACGGCAGCACGGGAGCAAUCCUGGUGGCGAGUGGCGAACGGGUGAGUAAUAUAUCGGAACGUGCCCAGUCGUGGGGAUAACGUAGCGAAAGCUACGCUAAUACCGCAUACGAUCUAUGGAUGAAAGCGGGGGAUCGCAAGACCUCGCGCGAUUGGAGCGGCCGAUAUCAGAUUAGGUAGUUGGUGAGGUAAAGGCUCACCAAGCCGACGAUCUGUAGCUGGUCUGAGAGGACGACCAGCCACACUGGGACUGAGACACGGCCCAGACUCCUACGGGAGGCAGCAGUGGGGAAUUUUUGGGACAAUGGGCGCAAGCCUGAUCCAGCAAUGCCGCGUGCAGGAUGAAGGCCCUCGGGUUGUAAACUGCUUUUGUACGGAACGAAAGGUUUCUAUUAAUACUAGGAGCUCAUGACGGUACCGUAAGAAUAAG